GGAGCAAGAUGAUCAGUUCCGUUUGAGAUGUGCUAAGUUUAAGAUGCAUGUGAGAUGCCUUGGUGGAGUUGUCCAGCAGUCAGCUGACAUAUGGAUUUGGGAGCUCAAGAGAAAAAUCUGGGUCAGAAGCAUCGGUAUCCAGGUAGUGGUGGAAACUGGAAGCAUAGAGGAGCCUGCUCUGGGCGACUGUGUGGUGUGGAGAGAGCAUGGAGCUCUGGAAUGCUGGAGAGCACUGCAGGAUAAAGCACUGUCAGAGGAACAGAUGUCCACAAAGGAGAGGGGUCAGGAGGAGAAUCAUGAGUGUGGCUUUAUAGAAACCAAGGAUGUAGAGUUUAAGGGGAAAGUCAGCUGGUCAAGUCGAGCACAGAGGUCCUGUAUAAGAGACUGAAAAAUGUGUCCAUUGGAUUUGGGGACAAGGAGGCCAAAUAAUGUUACUGUGUGUGUGCAUAUAUAUAUAAUACAUAUAUAUGUGCAGUGGAAUAAAAUAAUGUACUAUGUGUGGGCAUAUAUAUACCUAUAUAUAGAUAGGCAUGCACACACAUAUCUAACAGGUAUGAGGUGAUAUCUCAUUGUGGUUUUUGGCUUGCAUUCCCCUGAUAAUUGGUGAUAGUGAUGGUGAGCACCUUUACAUUUUUGUAUAUAUAAUGCAUCUCCAACAUUUUCUUUAUCCAUUCAUCCAUCGAUGGACAGUUAGGUUGUUUUCAUAUCUUGACUACUGUGAAUAAUACUGCAAUGAAAAUGGUAGAUGGCUCAUUGAGAUAGUGAGACAGCGAGAUAGCCUAUAGUUGGGAUUUGUUUUUUAUCCAUUUAGCCACUCUGUCUUCUGAUUGGAGAAUUCAGUCCAUUUACAUUCAAGGGAAUUAUUGACAGGCAAGGACUUACUAUUGUCAUUUUGUUCAGUGUUUUCUGUUUUUGUAAAUUUUUUGUUCCCUUCUUCCCCUUUUGCUGUCUUCCUUUGUGAAGUGAUGAAUUUUUACAGUGGAAUGGUUUGAUUCCUUACCCGUUAUCUUUUGUGUAUCUAGUAUAGACUUUUGCCCUGUGGUUACCAUGAGGCUUACAUAAAACAUCUUAAAACAGUCAUCUAUUUUAAGCUAAUCACUUCCAUACAAAAACUGUAUACUUUUACUUUCUCCCAUUUAUAUCUUUAAAGUAAUGACUUACAUAUUUUUAUACUGUAUAUCCAUUAACAGAUUAUUGUAGUAUAGUUAAAUAUUUGUCUUUUAACCUUCAUACUAGAGUUUAUAUUAAGUGAUUUAUACACCAUUAUAGUAUAGGAUAGCUCAUUUCUUUUUAACACUGAAUAAUAUUCCAUUGGAUGUAUCACCAUUUACUUAUCC
rnacentral:lncRNA from 1 species